GACGAACGCUGGCGGCGUGCUUAACACAUGCAAGUCGAACGGAAAGGCCCUGCUUUUGUGGGAUGCUCGAGUGGCGAACGGGUGAGUAACACGUGAGUAACCUGCCCUUGACUUCGGGAUAACUUCAGGAAACUGGGGCUAAUACCGGAUAGGAGCUCCUGCUGCAUGGUGGGGGUUGGAAAGUUUCGGCGGUCGGGGAUGGACUCGCGGCUUAUCAGCUUGUUGGUGGGGUAGUGGCUUACCAAGGCUUUGACGGGUAGCCGGCCUGAGAGGGUGACCGGCCACAUUGGGACUGAGAUACGGCCCAGACUCCUACGGGAGGCAGCAGUGGGGAAUAUUGCACAAUGGGCGGAAGCCUGAUGCAGCAACGCCGCGUGCGGGAUGACGGCCUUCGGGUUGUAAACCGCUUUCGCCUGUGACGAAGCGUGAGUGACGGUAAUGGAUAAAGAAGCACCGGCUAACUACGUG
rnacentral:rRNA from 1 species